rnacentral:ncRNA from 1 species
GUUCGCCAUUCGAGGUCUAUUCUCCUGCUGACUCCCAUUGGUGUGCUCUCUCCUGCCUGAUCCUGGUCUUCAGACCCAGCCUGGAGAGUCAGGGGUUCCCAUUUCUCCACCAUUGAGCCUUACAUGAGCUGCGGGCCACUAUAGUCCCACCAGCCAGUGAACCCUGCAACACUGGUUCAUGGGCUUCUACAUUUGUGACCAAAAGGCAGCUAGAAGUUAUGGGAUAGGACUUCAGUUCUAUUUUGUUGGUUUUCAGAACUCAGGUCAUGAUUCAGAGGGACAGAUGGGGGCAUUAUUAUUGCUACACUAGACUUGAAGUUCUUGGAUUGGCACAAGACAGACCCUAGCAAAAGCAUUGGCAAAGAAUGUUUUCAUUAAUCAAGAACAAAAGUCAGAGGUUUGAAGAUGAUUAGAUACCAUUGUAGUUCUGACCAUAAAUGCUAUGCAGUAGCCUUAUUCCCAU